rnacentral:rRNA from 1 species
GAAUAUUGGACAAUGGGCGAAAGCCUGAUCCAGCCAUGCCGCGUGUGUGAAGACGGUCUUCGGAUUGUAAAGCACUUUAAGUGGGGAGGAAGGGCAGUCAGCGAAUACCUUGCUGUUUUGACGUUACCGCCAGAAUAAGCACCGGCUACCCCUUUGCCAGCAGCCGCGGUAAUACAGAGGGUGCACGCGUUAAUCGGAAUUACUGGGCGUAAAGCGCGCGUAGGUGGUUCGUGAAGGUGGAUGUGAAAUCCCCGGACUCAAUCUGGGAACGGCAUCCAAAACUGGCGAGCUAGAGUAGGGCAGAGGGAGGUGGAAUUUCCUGUGUAGCGGUGAAAUGCGUAGAUAUAGGAAGGAACACCAGUGGCGAAGGCGACCACCUGGGCUAAUACUGACACUGAGGUGCGAAAGCGUGGGGAGCAAACAG